rnacentral:rRNA from 1 species
GACGAACGCUGGCGGCGUGCUUAACACAUGCAAGUCGAACGGUGAAGCGCCUUCCUUUUUGGUGGGUGGGGAGGGGUGGCGAACGGGUGAGUAACUCGUUAGUAACCUGCUUCCUUCUUCUGGAUAACCGCAUGAAAGUGUGGCUAAUACGGGAUAUUCUGUGUCUGUCGCAUCAUGGGUCUGGGACAGCUUUCGUUUCGGUGGGAGAUGGGCUCGCGGCCUAUCAGGUUGGUGGUGGGGUGACGGCCUACCAAGGCGGUGACGAGUAGCCGGCCUGAGAGGGUCGGCGAUCAUAGAAGGGAGGCAAGGCCGAGCAGACUCCGAGAGGCGGCAGCAGGGAGGAUUAUUGCACGGUGGGAGGAAGGCUGAAGCAACGCCGCGGGGUGGGAGAAGGAGGUCGUCUGGUAGUGAACCUCUGUCGCGAGAGAAGCAGGGCUGCCUAGUUUGUGGGUGGGUUGACGGUAGCUAAAUAAGAAGCGCCGGCUAACUACGUG